AUAUAAAUAAAGUCUUGGCAUGUUCAUCAGGUUAAUGGAAUCAAAUAUGACGGUCUUUUGCAUAGGCUUUUUAUUGCUCUUUAUGUGUCAUCAGUGUGAAAGAAAUGAGAAGCUCAAUACAGGAACAUUUGGUGAUCCACCGCCAAAAAAUUGUACUCCACAUUGUGAACCGUCGGCAAAUAAGCUUGAGUGGUGGUGUUGUGGUGAUAUCAACAUGGGUAACGCUAUAAGUAAAACUAGGUGUGAAAAUAAAUGUAGUGAAAAGAAAAGUUGUUGUAAGAAACAAACAUGAUUUGAUAUACAUAUUAACACACACACACACACACACAUAUAUAUAUAUAUAUGUGUGUGUGUUUGUGUGUGUAUAUAUAUCUCUAUUCUACAUAUUGAUAUUGUUAAGGAAUAAAUAUGUAAUAGGAGAAUAUCUAUACUAUAUAUAAAAGCAUAUCCGAAGGACGACUUAAAGUAAUUUGCCACUUUACUUAAAAUACUUUCAAAGCAUGAUGUACAGGUAUUUAAAGCACCAGAAAUAAAAUUGGACAUCACUUUCCAGUUUUACCAUUCCACUAAAAAAAGACACGGAUACCAGAUUAGGGUUUAUUCAUUUCAAAACAUUUCAAAACCGCCGGUUCCCUGCUCCUCUCUCCCUCUCUCUUUGGCGAUUCACCAGAUCUAUGAAGUUCGAUGAAGAUUCUGACCUCCUGGUUCCGAGAACAACCCGUAGGCGCACCACAUUAAGGUAUAAAUCUUGAAUCCAAGUCGACAAUCGACGUUGAAUUUGUCACCAGAAGCAUAUGUGUUGUGUAGAAGAUUAUCAAGGCUCAGAUUUGGGAAUUGUCGGUCAAAAGAGAUUUACUCUAUCAGAAAUGUUGUUGCUAAUAAGUUGAAGUCACUUGCAGAGGAAUUUAGUCCUCAUUGAGAAAUGGAGCACAUCGUUCCACAGGAUAGUGAUGAUGAAGGUAAAUUUGGCGAUGAUGAAAAUAUCAUACAUAACUGGAGUGUGUUGAAAACUACUCCUUAGCUUCGCAAAUCAAAGCUUAUUCUAGCUGAAGAAGUUGCUGCUUCAAAUGAUACCAUCUCCGACUUAACAAAACAGAUUUGUGAUGCUAUCCAAGCUAGGGCAGAACAAGAAAAGUACCAUGGUGUUAUCUUACUUCCAGAAGGGCUAAUAGAAAGCAUACCUGAAGCGCACGUGCUGUUGCAGGAAAUUCAUAGUCUUCUACGACGUGGCGUUUCUGUUGAACUUUGAAAGGAUUUGCAGCGGCAACAUCACCAUAACUUGGUUCCAUAUUAACAGUGAAUUGAUGAUGAAUUGGUAGUGGUGUGUGUGAUGGAUAUGAAAGGACAAUUGAGUAGUUAAUUGUCUUGGUACCGAGAAAUGUUCCCGGCAACAGACAUAUAUACCUUAGAAAGAGGAACGGUUAUGACGGCGGUUGAAUUUGGCGGGAAUAACCGCCAUUCGAAACAGUGCCAACCAUCCGUGUUAGUGCACGAUGUCUAUAGCCUACGUCUUAAGUCUAGGUCAUGUUGUAUAGGGUUUACAGGGGUCGAAAAUGUAAAUUUAUGUCUUUUGUAGUAAUUUCGCACAAAAAUACGUAGUGUAAUUUCGCACGAAAUUACAUGUGGUAUUUCGUGCGAAAUCACAGGUCUAUAUAUAGGUAGUUGUAGCUUCUCAUUGGUACGAAAUUAGUCAGAGUGUAACGAAGUGCUGCUGAAUUUCUACCGUGUAAUCAAGUCUAUUUUGAAUGAGAUGCUA